AUAUUUUUACUGUUUCUGCAGCUCUGAUCUAUCGACAAAUUCCAAUAAAUUGCGACACAGAGGCAAGCAAAAUAAAGGAAUAAGCCAGAAUAAGCUAGGCCUCCGACCGGCAACUCAAAUAGAGAAAUUGCCAUAUCCCCAUCCCAGGGUCCAAUCAAAAAUUGAUCCCUGAUUCGCGCAUAUUCCUGUGGCUUAUGGAUGCUUGUGGAAUUAUCCAUGUGGCUAUUUUUGCGCUCAUAGUUCGCUGAUGGCUUGAGGAAACUCCAUCUUUUGAGAGUGGCUUAUGUGCAAUGCAAUGAAAGAUUUUCUGUCUGAAUUUGAAAUUUCUUUGGAUCAUAAAUAUUUCAACAGAUCGCUUUAUUUAUUACGAAACAUUGAAGUAUGGAAAACAGAAUUCAGACAUGAAUGGAGACAAAUGCACACACAAAAUAGUUAUGUUCCAGGGAAUUUACGUGCAACAAAAGACACGUGUCAUUUCAACUUUCUAGAUGACUUCACAAAGGAAACCUUGAC